AGUGAACGCUGGCGGUAGGCCUAACACAUGCAAGUCGAACGGCAGCACAGGAGAGCUUGCUCUCUGGGUGGCGAGUGGCGGACGGGUGAGGAAUACAUCGGAAUCUACUUUUUCGUGGGGGAUAACGUAGGGAAACUUACGCUAAUACCGCAUACGACCUACGGGUGAAAGCAGGGGACCUUCGGGCCUUGCGCGAUUGAAUGAGCCGAUGUCGGAUUAGCUAGUUGGCGGGGUAAAGGCCCACCAAGGCGACGAUCCGUAGCUGGUCUGAGAUGAUGAGCAGCCACACUGGAACUGAGACACGGUCCAGACUCCUACGGGAGGCAGCAGUGGGGAAUAUUGGACAAUGGGCGCAAGCCUGAUCCAGCCAUACCGCGUGGGUGAAGAAGGCCUUCGGGUUGUAAAGCCCUUUUGUUGGGAAAGAAAUCCAGCUGGCUAAUACCCGGUUGGGAUGACGGUACCCAAAGAAUAAGCACCGGCUAACUUCGUGCCAGCAGCCGCCGUAA
rnacentral:rRNA from 1 species